ACUCAGGAUUGCACAUUACAUGUCUCCCUCCAUCCAUUCGUUGAUGAUGUGAAGUUGUCCUGUGCUUUGGCCAGACAAACACCCUCAAACCAUAAUGAUACAACUUUCAUGCAUGAUGGUGAGGAGGGUGUUCUUGAGAUCAUAGACAGCAGUUCUUUCUCAAAAUACAUUGAAUUGUGUUAAUGCCGAACAGGUUGAUUUUGGUUUCAUCUGACUACAGCACCUCCUUAUCAUAUCCUAAACCAGUCUGAUAUUCGUUGGCAAACCUCAGGUGGGACUGCACAGGUUCCUUCUGAAGUAGAGGUACAGUUCUAUGUGUGCUCUACAGGAUCUUAAACCAGCUGUCAUAAAAGAAGAAACAUUGCACGAUUCCUUUUAAAAAUGGCAGAAACAGCAGGAAAAACAUCACACAAAUAUGGACACGUCAGCAAUUAGGUCAUCACUUGGUCACGUGAUGCCUUUGAUAGAAAGUUCUGGAUUUCAUUGCAUACUCAGUCGGCGUGUGCAAGCGGUAAUAGGAAGACAAAGGACUGUGAAAUAUGAAGAAAUGGACUUCUAGCAACUCCUAACCUUCUGGUUGGAGGGGUAUACGUGUUCACGGUGGUCUUGGGCGUUUGUACGACGGAAAAUCCUGUAAUAAAACGUUUG